GCAAGUCGAGCGGAACCACUCGGUGGGAAGCGGCGAACGGGUAGGAGUAACGACUAGGUAAGUACUGCCAGUCAGACGGGGACAAACGAUUGGUAAACGAAUACGCGUAAUAACCGGAUAGGACGAAAGUUUAAAGAUGCUCCUGGCAUCACUGAUGGAUGAGCCUGCGGCGCAUUAGCUAGUUGGUGGGGUAAAGGCCUACCAAGGCGACGAUGCGUAGCCGACCUGAGAGGGUGAACGGCCACACUGGGACUGAGACACGGCCCAGACUCCUACGGGAGGCAGCAGUAGGGAAUCUUCGGCAAUGGGCGAAAGCCUGACCGAGCAGCGCCGCGUGAAUGAAGAAGGCCUUCGGGUUGUAAAAUUCUGUUAUAAGGGAAGAAAGGUGAUAGGAGGAAAUGACUAUCAAUUGACGGUACCUUAUGAGGAAGCCACGGCUAACUACGUG
rnacentral:rRNA from 1 species